AUGUUGGUACAUUUCAUCUUCUGUGUGUUUUGUUCUUUAGGUCUGGAUCAGCUCUGCACAUUUGAUGAACCAUAUUCGAUCAAACAAUGUUACGCAGCUCUGGGACACAAACUCAGUCUGCAGAUGAUGCUGAACCCUUCAUAUACUGACCUUUAUUUGUAUAAGACGUUAAAUGAUGGCAGUAGACUAAAAGUUUUUAGCAUAGAGAAAAAUAAAAAGUAUGAUUAUGAAUCCAUCAUAUUUGAGUACUUAAAAAAUGUGCCUCUGAUCAUAAAUACACAUGAAUCCAUCAGAAACAGAUCUGAGUUCUUCUUUGAUAAUAUGACUCUGACCAUAAACAAUGUGACCAAACCAGAUUCAGGAAGAUACACAUCAUUUGUCAUUGAGAUAGAUAUGGCAAUGGAAAGUGAUCUUCAAGUGAUUGUUGAAGCUCCUAUUGGCUCAGUGGAAGUGUCAAUCAUCUGCUUCUCCAGUGGGGUGAUGAGGGUGUUCUGCUCCUCUGAGGGGGAUCAGCUCCUCUACAGCUGGACUCUGAAUGGAGGUCCACUGAUGGAUGGAAACAGCAGCAUUGAUCUGGAUGAGAGAACUGAUGGAGACAUCAGCUGCAGCGUGAAGAACCACGUCAGUCACGCACAGAAGACCAUUACACUCACACCCUGUCCUGGAUCAACUACUGCGGCUGUGACCUCUAGUGUGACCUCUGCAGUGACCACCAGCACACAGACAUCAGAAUGUGUGUGUUCAGUGUCUCUGGUGUUUGUGUUGGUCUGGUGUCUUCAGCUGAUGGUUCUGUUGGGUCUGUUAGGAGCUUUUCACAUCUACAUGAGACACACGUCAGGAAAGAAACAGGAAGAUCAGAAAGUGAGGAUGAGAAGAUUGAGAGAAGGACAUGAACACACAGCAGAAGAUUCAUGAGAGCAGCAGCAGAUCAUCACAUCUAUGAGAAAUAACUUCAUAAUCUCACAGAUUCUCACAUCAAUCCAGCUUUCAGCUGCCAACAGCAGAUCUUAGAAUAUAAACCCAAGAGAUGAAUUAAAACCAGGAGAUAAGAAUUAAACCAGAUUUUCUACAGUUAUGGUUAUGAAGAUUAUUUCUGUUUUGUAAUAGAUUUAAUGCUUAUAUUACUUAUGUGUCUUCACACUGAAUGAACUAGCAGUACUUUUAUAUCAUUACAUGAAACCCCUUCUGAUCAUCACUGAUAAAACUUUUAUUUCUCUGAAUCAGAUCAGUCACAUUGUGUUUAUUUUCAUAUUUCUGCUCUUGCUCUUUAACUUUAUUCUGUUAUGGUUGAUUUCUUUCAUUUACAGGUCUGUUUAGAUGUUUUAUCUGUUUGAAGAUCUUGAUCUGUUUCUCUGUUUUGUAGUGUUUGUUGUGUUGCUGUCUGUGGUUUGGUUUUGCUUGAAUUUGCUUGAAGUUUUUAACAUAUAUAACCACAUUCAUGCAUUAUUCUUCACAAGAUAUUUGCAUCAUAGAACAUUGCUAAACAUGCCCUUCUUUAGACAUUGUAAAUGGGGUCAUUGCUGAAUUUGUUUUUUUGAGUUAAAUGUGAAAAUAAAACGCUUUAAAAUGAAACA
ensembl:lncRNA